rnacentral:rRNA from 1 species
UACGAAGGUCCCGAGCGUUGUUCGGAAUCACUGGGCGUAAAGGGAGCGUAGGCUGCGCGGUAAGUCAGAUGUGAAAUCCCGGGGCUCAACCCCGGAACUGCAUCCGAUACUGCCGUGCUAGAGGAUUGGAGAGGUAGCUGGAAUUCUUGGUGUAGCAGUGAAAUGCGUGGAUAUCAAGAGGAACACUCGUGGCGAAAGCGAGCUACUGGACAACUCCUGACGCUGAGGCUCGAAGGCCAGGGUAG